rnacentral:rRNA from 1 species
ACGGAAGGCAGCAGUGGGGAAUAUUGGACGAUGGGGGAAACCCUGAUCCAGCGACGCCGCGUGAGUGAAGACGUAUUUCGGUAUGUAAAGCUCUAUCAGCAAGGAAGAACAUGACGGUACUUGACUAGGAAGCUCCGGCUAAAUACGUGCCAGCAGCCGCGGUAAUACGUAUGGAGCAAGCGUUAUCCGGAUUUACUGGGUGUAAAGGGAGCGUAGACGGCAAAGCAAGUCUGAAGUGAAAUCCCGGGGCUCAACCCCGGAACUGCUUUGGAAACUGUAGAACUAGAGUGCAGGAGAGGUAAGCGGAAUUCCUAGUGUAGCGGUGAAAUGCGUAGAUAUUAGGAGGAACACCAGUGGCGAAGGCGGCUUACUGGACUGUAACUGACGUUGAGGCUCGAAGGCGUGGGGAGCAAACAGGAUUAGAUACCCUGGUA